CAAUAAGCGGAGGAAAAGAAACCAACAGGGAUUGCCUUAGUAACGGCGAGUGAAGCGGCAAAAGCUCAGAUUUGAAAUCUGGUGUCAUUUUGGCAUCCGAGUUGUAGUCUGUAGAGGUGUAUUCGAGUGUGGAUUUGGCUUAAGUUCCUUGGAACAGGGCGUCAUAGAGGGUGAGAACCCCGUUAAUGGCCUUUGUCUUAUGCUCAUGUGAAUCUCCUUCAACGAGUCGAGUUGUUUGGGAAUGCAGCUCUAAAUGGGUGGUAAAUUCCAUCUAAAGCUAAAUACUGGCAAAGAGACCGAUAGCGCACAAGUAGAGUGAUCGAAAGAUGAAAAGAACUCUGAACAGAGAGUUAAAUAGUACGUGAAAUUGUUGAAAGGGAAGCACUUGUGACCAGACGCACUUGCAGCCGAUCAAUUCUCAUUUUUGAGGGUGCACUCGGUUGUCUGUGGGUCAGCAUCAGUUAUAGCGGUAGGAAAAAGACUUGGGGAAUGUAGCUCCUUUCGGGGAGUGUUAUAGCCUUGUGUGCAAUGCUGCCUGCUGUGACUGAGGACCGCGCUUUGGCGAGGAUGCUGACAUAAUGGUCGUAAGUGACCCGUCUUGAAACACGGACCAA
rnacentral:rRNA from 1 species